AUUGAACGCUGGCGGCAGGCCUAACACAUGCAAGUCGAGCGGAUGAAGGGAGCUUGCUCCUGGAUUCAGCGGCGGACGGGUGAGUAAUGCCUAGGAAUCUGCCUGGUAGUGGGGGAUAAUGGCGGGAAACGGCCCUUAGAACCGAUACCUCCUACAGGAAGAAAUUGGGGAUUUUUUGGACCUCACGUUACAGGUGCAGCUUAGGUCGGAUCAGCUAGUUGGUGGGUGAAUGGCCUACAAAGGGGACGACCGGCACCUGGACUGAGAGGAUGAUCAGCCACACUGGAACUGAGACACGGUCCAGACUCCUACGGGAGGCAGCAGUGGGGAAUAUUGGACAAUGGGCGAAAGCCUGAUCCAGAAAUGCCGCGUGUGUGAAGAAGGUCUUCGGAUUGUAAAGCACUUUAAGUUGGGAGGAAGGGCAGUAAGUUAAUACCUUGCUGUUUUGACGUUACCAACAGAAUAAGCACCGGCUAACUUCGUG
rnacentral:rRNA from 1 species